GUGGGUACAAGAAAUCUACUUUAUUCAGCAUACUAACCUAAUUUCUAAGACAUGUUACAUACUUGAAACAUGUCUUAGAAAUUAGUUUUUUUUUUGUUAGUGUGCUGAAUAAAGUAGAUUCUUUGUACCCA
rnacentral:pre_miRNA from 1 species